GAUGAAUGCUGGCGGCGUGUCUAAGGCAUGCAAGUUGAACGUGCAAUUUUUAAUUGCAAGUGGCAAACGGGUGAGUAACACAUUGGUAACCUGCCUCGAAGUCGGGUACAACCAGCCGAAAGGUUGGCUAAUUCCAGAUGGUCUGGGGGGACGCAAGUCAUUCCCAUGUAAAGCUUUUGCGCUUCGAGAGGGGCCUAUGGCCUAUCAGCUUGUUGGUGAGGUAAUGGCUCACCAAGGCUAUGACGGGUAUGGGGUGUGAGAGCAUGACCCCACACACUGGGACUGAGACACUGCCCAGACACCUACGGGUGGCUGCAGUCGAGAAUCUUCCCCAAUGGGCGAAAGCCUGAGGGAGCGACGCCGCGUGUGCGAUGAAGGGCUUCGGCUCGUAAAGCACUUUUGUCGAGGAAGAACUAUGACGGUACUCGAAGAAUAAGGGGUUGCUAACUCUGUG
rnacentral:rRNA from 1 species